UCAGGUUUUAACGUACCGAUAUAUGGUAAGUUUCGGUAUAAUUCACGAUAAUCUAAACCGUAACCAACAACAAAUUCAUCUGGUAUUUUUUUACCUACAUACUUAGCUUCAAUGUCCGCUUUACGACGGUUUGGUUUAUCUAAUAAAGUAACUAUUUCUAAUGAAUUAACUUUUCUAGAUUGUAAUAAUUCAGUAAUUGACUUAAGUGUAGUACCAGUCUCUAAGAUAUCUUCAAUAAUUAAUACGUCUUUAUUUUCAAUAGAAGAACCUAAAUCUUUAAUGAUUUGAACUUCACCAGUUGACUCAGUGCCUCCGUGAUAACUAGAAACAUCCAUGAAAUCAAUUGAUAAAUGGGUAUCAAUUCGUUUAAUUAAAUCUGACAUAAACAUUGCUGAGCCUUUUAAGAUACCCACGCAUACUAAUGGUUUACCUUG
rnacentral:sRNA from 1 species